rnacentral:rRNA from 1 species
UACGUAGGGUGCGAGCGUUAAUCGGAAUUACUGGGCGUAAAGCGUGCGCAGGCGGUUUGCUAAGACAGGUGUGAAAUCCCCGGGCUUAACCUGGGAACUGCGCUUGUGACUGGCAGGCUAGAGUACGGCAGAGGGGGGUGGAAUUCCUGGUGUAGCAGUGAAAUGCGUAGAUAUCAGGAGGAACACCGAUGGCGAAGGCAGCCCCCUGGGCCCGUACUGACGCUCAUGCACGAAAGCGUGGCGAGCAAACAGGAUUAGAUACCCCCGUA